rnacentral:rRNA from 1 species
GUGCCAGCAGCCGCGGUAAUACGGGGGUGGCAAGCGUUGUUCGGAAUUACUGGGCGUAAAGGGCGCGUAGGCGGCAUUACAAGUCAGAUGUGAAAUCCCUGGGCUUAACUCAGGAAUUGCAUCUGAAACUGUUUUGCUUGAGUCCUGGAGGGGGUAGUGGAAUUCCCAGUGUAGCGGUGAAAUGCGUAGAUAUUGGGAGGAACACCUGCGGCGAAGGCGGCUACCUGGACAGUGACUGACGCUGAGGCGCGAAAGCUAGGGGAGCGAACGGGAUUAGAUACCCCGGUAGUCCUAGCUGUAAACGAUGGGCACUUGGUGUUGGGGGUAUUGAGUCCCCCGGUGCCGGAGUUAACACGUUAAGUGCCCCGCCUGGGGAGUACGGUCGCAAGACUGAA